ensembl:lncRNA
GUGUGUGUGUGUGUGUGUGUGUGUGUGUGUGUGUGUGUGUAUACUGCAAACUCCCACCUUUUUCUGCUCCUCCUCCUCCUCCCAUCUUUCACAAGGCCGGGACUUUGAAGAAGACUAAUCCGGGUUAUUUGCUUUCCCAUGCUUGUGUCAGGCCCCUCUCUCAAUUGACUGGAAAAUACAGUCUGCCGGGCCGCUCCCUCUGUCCCUGAUUAAUCCGAAAAGGAUGUGGCCGAUGGGCGUACAUAAAGCGGGCUGAAUGGAAACUGAAGGGGACCACCCCCCACACCCCCACAAACCCCUCUGCGCCCAUCCCACCUUAAACCCUGGUGAAGAAGGAAGGGAGCCGCUUCAGAGUCUUUAAGCUGUUUUAUGGGGAGAAAGCCCCCAACCAGCCGUGGCCCCCACGUGUUCGGACCCACACCUUGAGCAGGCAGCCGUGAAAUGGGGCCCUGUCUGGGAACUGUUGGCAGGCCGGAUGGAAACAGCAAAAGCGUGGUCCUCGUUAGCUGGGAUGACGCUAGCUAGCCCGUCGUCUCUGGGGAGCAUGCUUGGCUGCUGCUGCUGCUGCUACUGCCGGGAGGCCGAGAAAAGGAAAGGUGAAACAUAACCAGCUCUGGGGCCAAGGAUUAAAUCAGAGACAGCUUAUCAGCAGCUGCGACAACAACCGCCGACCUCCAGGUCACCCAACCCACUGACCUAUUCUGACCAGGGAGGCCGGACCACAUAAUUCUCUUGACCCCCAACGCAUCCCUCCCCUCCCACCCUCUUUCUCUUCCCCUGUUGGGAAACAGGGGCAGAUCAAGGGGUGGGUGGGGUGAUGGGCGGGAUGGUGACCUGGAGAAUAUAAGGAGUGGGGAAAAUUCCAGUGUGUUUGAAUCUCUUCACGUCCACCCUGGAAUCGGGGAUCGCAGCUCACAUUCUCCCCACACAAACCCAGCCCCUGUGACACGCCUGGAAUGCUGAGCCUUUUUACUUCUUCCCCAAUUUAGGUAAUUACCGCAGCGGUCACGGUGCUCAGAACAGAGACCGUGACCCUGGGCGGUGCACAGUGACAGCCCAUGUUGCUGAGGCGGCGCUCUGCUUUGUGCUGCCGAAAACAGACCUGCCGACAAAUUCAUCACUGACUUCUCUGCAACGGCCCUUAUUUAGUGGCUAUAAUGCCUGCCAACUGGUGCAUUGUGCCGUACCUGCGGUACCAAACAUUCCCAUGGAGUGUGUUGGAAUAAUGAUGGCCCGCCAUUGGUUGCCAGCUCUUUAUUUGCUGUUGCUCACUUAAUGCGUAGAUUCAAGGCAGGCACAUCUCAAUUUUAAACCAUUUAUCUUCAUUUUAUGCUUUUCUUUAUUUGUGUGCUGGUUGUUGCAGCUAUUUGACACCUAUAGCCAUGUAUGUAGUUCACAGAGAGAAUGGGGACCCUCCCUUGCUUCUUGCUGACUCGGGGUGUCUAUAAUAAUUUUACCCGCCUCAGAGUUAAUGGACCCAUAAUAGGCCAUGAAGCUGGUGGAGCAGGUUAAUGAAACAACUGUAGAAAUGAAGCUGAGUCAGUGAAAACCCACAAUAGCACGUUGCU